rnacentral:rRNA from 1 species
GAUGAACGCUGGCGGCGUGCCUAACACAUGCAAGUCGAGCGAACAGACGAGGUCCUUGCUCCUUUGUCGUUAGCGGCGGACGGGUGAGUAACAAGACGUUAACCUACUUACAACACUGGCAUAACUUCGGCAAGCCGGAGUUAAUAAUGCAUAAUAUUUUGAACCGCUUGGUUCAAUAGUGAAAGACGGUUUUGCUGUCACUUAUAGAUGGACCCGCGCCGUAUUAGCUGGUUGGUAAGGUAACGGCUUACCAAGGCAACGAUGCGUAGCCGACCUGAGAGGGGGAUCGACCACACUGGAACGGAUACACGGCCCAGACGCCUACGGCGGGAGGCAGUAGGGAAUCUUCCGCCAUGAGCGGAGACCUGACGAUGCAGCGCCGCGUGGGGGGUGAUGGUCUUCUGAUCGUAGAGCACUGUUAUUGGGAAAGAACAAGGCUUGAAGUGACUGUGCACGUCUUGACGGUACCUUGUCAAAAAGCCACGGCUAACUACGUG